rnacentral:miRNA from 1 species
UUAUUUCAGGUUUCCAGCAU